GACGAACGCUGGCGGCGUGCUUAACACAUGCAAGUCGAACGGAAAGGCCCUGCUUUUGUGGGGUGCUCGAGUGGCGAACGGGUGAGUAACACGUGAGUAACCUGCCCUUGACUUUGGGAUAACUUCAGGAAACUGGGGCUAAUACCGGAUAGGAGCUCCUGCUGCAUGGUGGGGGUUGGAAAGUUUCGGCGGUUGGGGAUGGACUCGCGGCUUAUCAGCUUGUUGGUGGGGUAGUGGCUUACCAAGGCUUUGACGGGUAGCCGGCCUGAGAGGGUGACCGGCCACAUUGGGACUGAGAUACGGCCCAGACUCCUACGGGAGGCAGCAGUGGGGAAUAUUGCACAAUGGGCGGAAGCCUGAUGCAGCAACGCCGCGUGCGGGAUGACGGCCUUCGGGUUGUAAACCGCUUUCGCCUGUGACGAAGCGUGAGUGACGGUAAUGGGUAAAGAAGCACCGGCUAACUACGUGCCAGCAGCCGCGGUGAUACGUAGGGUGCGAGCGUUGUCCGGAUUUAUUGGGCGUAAAGGGCUCGUAGGUGGUUGAUCGCGUCGGAAGUGUAAUCUUGGGGCUUAACCCUGAGCGUGCUUUCGAUACGGGUUGACUUGAGGAAGGUAGGGGAGAAUGGAAUUCCUGGUGGAGCGGUGGAAUGCGCAGAUAUCAGGAGGAACACCAGUGGCGAAGGCGGUUCUCUGGGCCUUUCCUGACGCUGAGGAGCGAAAGCGUGGGGAGCGAACAGGCUUAGAUACCCUGGUAGUCCACGCUGUAAACGGUGGGUACUAGGUGUGGGGUCCAUUCCACGGGUUCCGUGCCGUAGCUAACGCUUUAAGUACCCCGCCUGGGGAGUACGGCCGCAAGGCUAAAACUCAAAGGAAUUGACGGGGCCCCGCACAAGCGGCGGAGCAUGCGGAUUAAUUCGAUGCAACGCGUAGAACCUUACCUGGGUUUGACAUGGAUCGGGAGCGCUCAGAGAUGGGUGUGCCUCUUUUGGGGUCGGUUCACAGGUGGUGCAUGGCUGUCGUCAGCUCGUGUCGUGAGAUGUUGGGUUAAGUCCCGCAACGAGCGCAACCCUUGUUCACUGUUGCCAGCACGUUAUGGUGGGGACUCAGUGGAGACCGCCGGGGUCAACUCGGAGGAAGGUGGGGAUGACGUCAAGUCAUCAUGCUCCUUAUGUCCAGGGCUUCACGCAUGCUACAAUGGCUGGUACAGAGAGUGGCGAGCCUGUGAGGGUGAGCGAAUCUCGGAAAGCCGGUCUCAGUUCGGAUUGGGGUCUGCAACUCGACCUCAUGAAGUCGGAGUCGCUAGUAAUCGCAGAUCAGCAACGCUGCGGUGAAUACGUUCCCGGGGCU
rnacentral:rRNA from 1 species